GCUUCUAUUAGCGGAAUAUUGGACGAAGAGGAAAGGAAAGCCGUUCUUAAUUCGCGAAUUCUUGUCGUUGGUGCUGGAGGCAUUGGAUGCGAACUAUUGAAAAAUUUAGUUUUAACGGGCUUCAGUAAUAUAGACGUGCCAGGACAAAGAAUCAAAAACUGUGACUGUCUCGGUUAAUCCAGGAUGUUAACUGAAUCUACUUUGGCCAGCCCUCAUACCAUCAUCAGGUAUUGAAAGCAUUGAAAAAGUUUAUAAUACUUGACCUACAGCAUACUGGAAAAAGUCAGAUUGCCUACAAUUCUUGUCGAACAUAGAAUACACAAAGUUCUCUGGGACUUCCUCAGGUUUGAUGUAAUAUUAAAUUUGAAUACUAGACUGUUUUUCAAAUUCAGUCAUUUGAAUUAGAUGCCAGUUAUUCAAGCAAACUUUACUAUUUAGAAUUGAGUUUUUAGAUUCUA